rnacentral:snRNA from 1 species
GGGUGUGAAGGCGAUCUGGCUGCAACAUCCGUCCCCCACUGACCACCCUGGCUGGUCUGGCUGGCCAGGCGGUGUCCCCCUCCUCCCUCACCGCUCCACGUGUCCCUCCUGAAGCUGCACUUGCUCGGUGGAAGGGGACGACCACCCCUGAUAGAGGAGGACCAUCUCCUGAGUUACGGGUAGCUGCGCUCCCUGCUGGAACCUCCAAACAAGGACUCGACUGGGACCCCCAGGCCCGGCACAGCCCCAGGCCUCAGAAAAGAGAAACUUGAUUUGUCCUU